UACGUAGGCAGCGAGCGUUGUUCGGAAUUACUGGGCGUAAAGAGUGUGUAGGCGGUGCUCUAAGUUCGGUGUGAAAUCUCCCGGCUUAACUGGGAGGGUGCGCCGAAGACUGGAAGGCUUGAGUAUAGGAGAGGUAAGCGGAAUUCCUGGUGUAGCGGUGAAAUGCGUAGAUAUCAGGAGGAACACCUGCGGUGUAGACGGCUUACUGGACCAUAACUGACGCUGAGGCACGAAAGCGUGGGUAGCAAACAGG
rnacentral:rRNA from 1 species